UACGGAGGGGGCUAGCGUUAUCCGGAAUUACUGGGCGUAAAGCGCACGUAGGCGGCGCGAACAGUCAGAGGUGAAAGGCCUGGGCUCAACCUGGGAACUGCCUUUGAUACUAGCGUGCUUGAGUCCGGAAGAGGGUGGCGGAAUUCCGAGUGUAGGGGUGAAAUCCGUAGAUAUUCGGAGGAACACCGGUGGCGAAGGCGGCUAUCUGGACCGAUAUUGACGCUGAGACGCGAAAGCGUGGGUAGCAAACAGG
rnacentral:rRNA from 1 species